GAAUACAGAUGCCUGUCGAGCUUGCUCACGGGUUUUCUAUCAUAUCCAUAACACCUGUGCACUUGUUGGAUGUUCUAAAGACGUAGGCUUAAAGCUGAAGUCAAUAGUCAUCCACUUACACUAAACAAUAAUGUAACAAAUGUAGUCUUAUUAUAACAUAAUAAAACUUUCAACAACGGAUCUCUUGGCUCU
rnacentral:misc_RNA from 1 species